GACGAACGCUGGCGGCGUGCCUAACACAUGCAAGUCGAACGGAGUUAAGGCCAACACCGAAGAUUCAGGGGUGCUGGGGACAGGACACUGAGUCGUGGGUGUUGGACUUAACUUAGUGGCGGACGGGUGAGUAACGCGUGAGGAACCUGCCUUUCAGAGGGGGAUAACGUCUGGAAACGGACGCUAAUACCGCAUGACAUUCCGGGGUCACAUGGCUCUGGAAUCAAAGGAGCAAUCCGCUGAGAGAUGGACUCGCGUCCGAUUAGCCAGUUGGCGGGGCAACGGCCCACCAAAGCAACGAUCGGUAGCCGGGCUGAGAGGCUGAACGGCCACAUUGGGACUGAGACACGGCCCAGACUCCUACGGGAGGCAGCAGUGGGGGAUAUUGCACAAUGGAGGAAACUCUGAUGCAGCAACGCCGCGUGAGGGAAGAAGGUUCUCGGAUUGUAAACCUCUGUCCUCAGGGACGAUAAUGACGGUACCUGGGGAGGAAGCUCCGGCUAACUACGUG
rnacentral:rRNA from 1 species